UAAUCGGGGUUGCGGACAGUGUCUGGUGGGUAGUUUGACUGGGGCGGUCUCCUCCUAAAGAGUAACGGAGGAGCACGAAGGUUGGCUAAUCCUGGUCGGACAUCAGGAGGUUAGUGCAAUGGCAUAAGCCAGCUUGACUGCGAGCGUGACGGCGCGAGCAGGUGCGAAAGCAGGUCAUAGUGAUCCGGUGGUUCUGAAUGGAAGGGCCAUCGCUCAACGGAUAAAAGGUACUCCGGGGAUAACAGGCUGAUACCGCCCAAGAGUUCAUAUCGACGGCGGUGUUUGGCACCUCGAUGUCGGCUCAUCACAUCCUGGGGCUGAAGUAGGUCCCAAGGGUAUGGCUGUUCGCCAUUUAAAGUGGUACGCGAGCUGGGUUUAGAACGUCGUGAGACAGUUCGGUCCCUAUCUGCCGUGGGCGCUGGAGAACUGAGGGGGGCUGCUCCUAGUACGAGAGGACCGGAGUGGACGCAUCACUGGUGUUCGGGUUGUCAUGCCAAUGGCACUGCCCGGUAGCUAAAUGCGGAAGAGAUAAGUGCUGAAAGCAUCUAAGCACGAAACUUGCCCCGAGAUGAGUUCUCCCUGACUCCCUGAGAGUCCUGAAGGAACGUUGAAGACGACGACGUUGAUAGGCCGGGUGUGUAAGCGCAGCGAUGCGUUGAGCUAACCGGUACUAAUGAACCGUGAG
rnacentral:rRNA from 1 species